rnacentral:lncRNA from 1 species
UGAUGGACAAAUGCCAGGAGAUCUUUGAUGAUAUGGUAAAGGCUGGUAUAGAACCUGAUGUCCACGCAUUUAGCAUCCUGGCGAAAGGUUAUAUUCGUGCUGGGGAGCCAGGAGAGGCUGAGUCACUCCUCAACUCCAUGGGCAAAUUCGGUGUGCAACCAAAUGUUGUAAUCUUCACAACUGUCAUUAGUGGGUGGUGCACUGCUGGAAAAAUGAAUCAUGCAGCCAGAGUUUAUGAGAAAAUGUGUGAAAUCGGCAUUACCCCCAAUUUGACUACUUAUGAGACACUGAUAUGGGGAUAUGGGGAAGCAAAACAGCCAUGGAAAGCUGAAGAACUCCUGCAGAUUAUGGAAGAGAAGGGUAUCUCUGCUGAGAGGAGCACCAUACAGCUAGUAGCGGAUGCUUGGCGUGCCAUCGGUUUACUAAAUGAAGCAAGAAGAAUCAUAAAAAAUGUAGAUCGAGGAAUUGCAUCGAAUACUAAAGAUGACAUACCGGCAGAGGGCAUGGAGAAGACGUACAAGAAACAAAGCCUAAGUGCUUCUUAUUCUAAUGUUUUGCAGAUGCCUGGGGUAGCCAUGAAUGAACAAAAUGGAUCAUCUAGUUCCAAAGCAAGAAGCCAAAUGGUGUUGAAGAAAUACGAUUCAUCAUCUCUGUUUCCUGCUCAAGCAAGUGUUUUUGGGGUGCAACCAGGGAUUAUAUGCCAGAAGCAGUUAACAACAACCAGGGAAUAUAGGAUGCAUGGGCAGUUUGUAAAUUCAUGUAAAUUGGUGUUCAUAAACUGAUGAGAAUUUCAGGAAGGUUGUCCGGAUAUCAUAUGUGUAUCCUGAAUUUUCCGG